UACGAAGGGGGCUAGCGUUGCUCGGAAUCACUGGGCGUAAAGGGUGCGUAGGCGGGCCUUUAAGUCAGGGGUGAAAUCCUGGAGCUCAACUCCAGAACUGCCUUUGAUACUGAGAAGCUUGAGUCCGGGAGAGGUGAGUGGAACUGCGAGUGUAGAGGUGAAAUUCGUAGAUAUUCGCAAGAACACCAGUGGCGAAGGCGGCUCACUGGCCCGGUACUGACGCUGAGGUGCGAAAGCGUGGGGAGCAAACAGG
rnacentral:rRNA from 1 species